AUUACGAGAAUGGGGGCAAGGUUGGAGAUGGCCUCGGAGCGCCAAAACACGGGCGGCCCAAACAUGUGAAGAAAUGUAGGGCGAGAGAUUUGUGUAUAGUGACUUCAAAAGUCAGUAGUUAUCUAGUCCCACUUCUCUGACUGCGAUCUUCACGUGGCCUGUUCUAUCUAAUUACAUAUUGUUAAUUCUUCUGACACAAUUAUUUCCUUUCUCAGAGAGAAAAUCCUGGUUUCGUACUUUACCUUUCUCUUCUCUGCUUUUCUUGUGUGCCAAUGGAAAGUAGUAAGAAGCAAGUGGGUUCAUCAUUUUCUGUUGAUAUUUUUGAUUCCACCAAAGAAUCUACUCAGCCAUCCAAUUCCACCGGAAUUUUCUCUUCACUUUUUCUACCACCAUCUAAGUACAAGAAGGAAGGAGGAGAAUAUGAUUCUGGUGGAAACGACCAAUAUAGUGCUUCUAGAGGGAAUUGGUGGGAAGGGUCACUUUAUUACUAGAACCUGACCGCGGAGCCCCAAAGACAUGUGAAUUCCCAUAUAUUUAGUAGUGGAGUUCGUGAAGUCUUGAGAGCAGGUUGAUUUAGUCUCGUUGAAGACGACUAGUACGGCCAUGUGUUGACAGAUUCCAAGUUUUUAUUGUGGGUUCUCUUGAUGGUUAUUUGAACCCUAUAUGACAUGGAGCUUUUUACUCUUUUCGGCUCAGUGCCUUACAAAGCAGGGAUUUUGACAACUGGUUUAACAUCUUUUUACUCAUUUAACACUUCCUAUGUAAUCGAGUGAUGUAAAUUUCUGAAUAAGUUCUUGGCAUGGAACUAGUACUUUGAAAAUAUAUUGUGGAAUGAACUCGCGUUGCCCUCUCUGAAGAUUAGUAUGAGCUAAAUUGACAAGAACUUUCUUGUGUUUCAA